UACGGAGGGAGCUAGCGUUGUUCGGAAUUACUGGGCGUAAAGCGCGUGUAGGCGGCCAGGUAAGUCCGUUCUGAAAGCCCGGGGCUCAACCCCGGGAGGCGGAUGGAUACUGCUUGGCUCGAGUCCGGAAGAGGCGAGUGGAAUUCCCGGUGUAGCGGUGAAAUGCGCAGAGUAUCGGGAGGAACACCGGUGGCGAAGGCGGUUCUCUGGACAGCUACUGACACUGAGGCACGAAGGCCAGGGGAGCAAACGGG
rnacentral:rRNA from 1 species